CCAAAGCCUAUUCUUCAAACUCCUGCAUCACCACCACCUGACAAUGCUGUACUAUCUGCACCACCUAAUGCCAUUCAGUUAGCACAGGUCAUUCAGGAUUCAAUCUCAAUGAACAGACUUCCCAUGCCAGAGCCAACAGUGUUCACAGGUGAGCCAGUCCACUUUGUUGAAUGGAAGGCCUUGUUUAUGUCACUGAUGGAUCAAAAAAGCAUCUCCUCUGCUGACAAAUUCUACUAUCUUAAACGAUAUGUUAGUGGCCAGGCCCGUAGAUGCCUUGAAGGCACAUUCUUUAGAAACGACGAUGAAGCAUAUCAAGAUGCCUGGAGAAGACUUUACCAGCGGUACGGUCAGCCAUUUGUCAUUCAAAGGGCAUUCAGAGAAAAAUUAACAAGCUGGCCAUAAGUACAAGCCAAGGAUGCAGGUCUCAGAAACUUUGCAGAUUUUUUAAAUGCCUGCUUACAAGCCAUGCCUAAUUUUAAAGGUCUUCACAUAUUAAAUGACUGUGAAGAAAACCAUAAACUGACUCAGAAGUUACCUGACUGGGCAGCAGCCAGGUGGAAUCGUCAGGUUACAAAGGCCCUAAUGGAAGGAAAGGAUUUUUCAGGUUUCAGUGCCUUUGCCACUUUUGUGUCAACAGAAGCAGAGAUUGCCUGCAACCCAAUCACCUCUAUCCAUGCACUACGUUCACCAGAACCUCGUAGUGACAAGGGAAAUGUAAAGGAAUUAAAAAGAAACAAAGCUAGUGUCUUCAGUACCCAAGGUUCCUCAGAUUGUGACAAGCAAGCAGCAGUCACCUCAAAUGUAAAAUCAUUGUGCAGGUUAUGCCAAGAUACCCGUCAACUACACAAGUGCCCAAACCUUCUAAAAAGGUCCCUAGUAAACUGCAGGGCAUACAUUAAAGAGCCCAUAUCAUGCAAAAUCCACUUUUUAGACAUUUUGGAGCGUCCCUAUGACUCUAUGGGUCACAUAUACACACACUGAGCACGGUAGAAAUGCAUUUCCUGCUUUUUUCACAUUUUGAAAACGUAAAUUUUCUCAUCCAAUGAAAACAGCCACGACCUACUCUGAGGCCGUGUCCCAGUUGUCGUCACACUGGUUGAAAGUUCUCCUUGCAAAUCCUGAACCACCACCCCCACAAUGAUCCCGAACCAAAACUGGACUUCCGCCAUUUCCCCCCUCUCACUCACCGUGAACAGACCAGCACGGCAGCGCCCAAGUCCUCCCAUAGAAAUAGUUCGGUUCUUAGGUGUUCUAACCAACACCAAAGUCUCUUCACUUUACCAAGGGAUUAACAAGUGAGGAUUUGUGGGUCACUUUUAUUUUUAACGGACCGGUGCCAGAAACACUGCCUCAGCAUUUAUACGUAUGUGCAUUUCAAACGAGGGUGCGUACAAUGCUGGAUUUGUUUCACGGCUCCUGUUGGAAAAAAAGGACCUAUUCCUAAAGUCCGUCAUCCACUCACUGAAGAGGGCAAAUCCCAGUUGCCCACAUGCAAGGAGGCUGUCAAACAGAGAAAUCACUGCAGACUGUUGGUACACAGACAUCUGCUGCCCAGCUCAGGAGUAAAGGUAUGUAAGUUUGUAUGUACCAACAGUAAGAUAGGUAAUAGAAGAUUUUAAUUGGUAUAUACUGUUUAGAUUUUAUAUUUGAAUUGUAACAACUGUUUAUCUGUUGUUUUAGCACAGACAGGCCUGUCCUCUUGUUUGGUUUAAUUUUUUGUCUGGUAUUGUGUGUUCUUACAUUAGAGAAGGUUUUGACCUACAUAAUAAUUAACAUUUCACUAAUCUACAAUUCUGAUUGCACUACCUUUUGUUUUGAUGAGGUGAUGGUGAGGACAGCCACAGCUUCCAUCUGGUAGAGGACUGCUUCCGCUCAGUCUUCCAAAUAGUGAUGAGAACAAGGAUCACCACAUCUCCCUGUUUACCCUACUUUCAUGCAUUUCGUCUGCAAGGCCCUGCAAAAGCUUCUCCUUCGUCCUCAAACCCCCAGACUUCUUAAUUAACUCAGUAACCUAUACAUUGCACAUUGGAGUGUGAAGGUAACAGUUUGUUCUAGCUUUGGAGUAGUGGUGUAUUUUUUUGGUUUACAAUAAAGUUGGCUUUAACUAUUA